rnacentral:rRNA from 1 species
UUCGUAGGUGGCCUGCUAAGUCACACGUGAAAUCCCUCAGCUUAACUGGGGAACUGCGUGUGAGACUGGCGGGCUUGAGUGCAGGAGAGGAACGCGGAAUUCCAGGUGUAGCGGUGAAAUGCGUAGAUAUCUGGAGGAACACCGGUGGCGAAGGCGGCAUCCUGGACCAACACUGACGCUGAGGAGCGAAAGCCAGGGGAGCAAAACGG